CUAUUUUCGUGAUUCAACUAAAAUAUAGAGAUCAAAACUACAAUUAAGCAUAAUUUAAAACAUUAGAUAAGAGAAGCUCCUAAUAUAUUAAAGUUAAAGGAUCACUACACUCUUGUAGGGAGAUGGUACGUUGACCGUGGAUUACGGAUAACACCAUCAACGACACUUCUCUUAAGUAAAUAUUAAUGGUUCUUUUAAUCUUUAUGAUUGAGACAAUUAUUUGAUCAGUUUAAUUUUGAUAAAAAUAAGGGAAAAUGAAUGUGUCCCGUAAAACUCAAUCGGUUGAACAAAUAGAAAUCAAGUUGUCUUCUCAGCCGUAAAGACAAAGAGACCCGUUAAAUUGUACUUUCAAGGGGAGUAAUCGAUCGCCAUUAAAAUUUCAUAUGAUUUUUAAACAUAGAUCAUUAGUAAACAAUUUAUAAAAGUGGUCCAUGUCGAAUUUACCCACUCUUGUUAUCUUCCAUGUUACAUGAGUAUUCCCUAAACAUAAUAACUAGCUGUGCGUAUACAAAACACUAGGGUCUUCUAAUGAAGACAUAAUUUCUUAACCUCACGCAUCUAACUAACAUGAUAGAGUUUAUGCAGCGGGAGCAUAGUCAUAACCACCAUCAUCGUCAUCGUCACCUUCCCUAUAUGCAUCUAGAGCACAGCAAAAACCUUCAAUGCAUGCUGUAGAUGCAUAACCAUACAAAUCAUGAUGGUCACCUUCACCGCAUGCAUGAUUCUUGGACCUUGAAGCAAUUACAAUAGAAAUGAAUGUCAUAUUGUCUUAAAGAUCUAAGUAAAUGGAAUUAGCGAAGAGAUGUUAAAGCUAGUUGUGUGCGUUGUGUUUGAGUUGAGAUAAAACUUAAGAGAGUUGGGGUUUAUAAAAGAAGAAGAAAAGGCAUUGGAG
rnacentral:lncRNA from 1 species